GUUCGUGUUAUGUGGAAUGAAAGGAAAUUGUGGCGAAGGGUCUCAAAUUGUCUCCUGUAGUUCUGCCCCAAUUGCAUAUUUAAUGGACAUCCCAUAUUAUGAAAACCCCUUGUCAAAGUAAAAGAAAUGACUUAUCAGAUGCUGUGUAUGAUAUCUUGUAUUAUCCCAUCAAGAAUUCCAAGAACCAGAAUGAAUAUUUGAAUCUUUCUUAGGAUAUUGUGGUUUACUGCUAUUAUGUAAUUGAAAGGCUUGCCUUUGUUUCUUGGUAUGUUAAAGUUAAGAUCCAUGUAUGAAU
rnacentral:misc_RNA from 1 species